GACGAACGCUGGCGGCGUGCUUAACACAUGCAAGUCGAACGGAAAGGCCCCUUUGGGGGUCCUCGAGUGGCGAACGGGUGAGUAACACGUGAGUAACCUGCCCUUGACUUCGGGAUAACUUCAGGAAACUGGGGCUAAUACCGGAUAGGAAUCCUUGCUGCAUGGUGGGGGUUGGAAAGCUUCGGCGGUUUUGGAUGGACUCGCGGCUUAUCAGCUUGUUGGUGGGGUAGUGGCUUACCAAGGCUUUGACGGGUAGCCGGCCUGAGAGGGCGACCGGCCACAUUGGGACUGAGAUACGGCCCAGACUCCGACGGGAGGCAGCAGUGGGGAAGAUUGCACAAUGGGCGGAGGCCUGAUGCAGCAACGCCGCGUGCGGGAUGACGGCCUUCGGGUUGUAAACCGCUUUCAGCAGGGGCGAAGCUUGUGGUGACGGUACCUGCAGAAGAAGCACCGGCUAACUACGUG
rnacentral:rRNA from 1 species